AUUGAACGCUGGCGGCAGGCCUAACACAUGCAAGUCGAGCGGAUGAAGGGAGCUUGCUCCUGGAUUCAGCGGCGGACGGGUGAGUAAUGCCUAGGAAUCUGCCUGGUAGUGGGGGAUAACGUCCGGUAACGGGCGCUAAUACCGCAUACGUCCUGAGGUAGAAAGUGGGGGAUCUUCGGACCUCACGCUAUCAGAUGAGCCUAGGUCGGAUUAGCUAGUUGGUGGGGUAAAGGCCUACCAAGGCGACGAUCCGUAACUGGUCUGAGAGGAUGAUCAGUCACACUGGAACUGAGACACGGUCCAGACUCCUACGGGAGGCAGCAGUGGGGAAUAUUGGACAAAGGGCGAAAGCCUGAUCCAGCCAUGCCGCGUGUGUGAAGAAGGUCUUCGGAUUGUAAAGCACUUUAAGUUGGGAGGAAGGGCAGUAAGUUAAUACCUUGCUGUUUUGACGUUACCAACAGAAUAAGCACCGGCUAACUUCGUG
rnacentral:rRNA from 1 species